rnacentral:rRNA from 1 species
AUUGAACGCUGGCGGCAUGCUUUACACAUGCAAGUCGAACGGCAGCGCGGGCUUCGGCCUGGCGGCGAGUGGCGAACGGGUGAGUAAUACAUCGGAACGUGCCCAGUAGUGGGGGAUAGCUCGGCGAAAGCCGGAUUAAUACCGCAUACGACCUGAGGGUGAAAGCGGGGGAUCUUCGGACCUCGCGCUAUUGGAGCGGCCGAUGGGAGAUUAGCUAGUUGGUGGGGUAAAGGCCUACCAAGGCGACGAUCUGUAGCUGGUCUGAGAGGACGACCAGCCACACUGGAACUGAGACACGGCCCAGACUCCUACGGGAGGCAGCAGUGGGGAAUUUUGGACAAUGGGCGAAAGCCUGAUCCAGCAAUGCCGCGUGUGUGAUGAAGGCCUUCGGGUUGUAAAGCACUUUUGGCGGGAACGAAAAGGACUGUGCCAAUACCACGGUUCGAUGACGGUACCCGCAGAAUAAGCACCGGCUAACUACGUG